GCCCUCUCUAGACGUCACCAUCUAGAUGUCAC
rnacentral:piRNA from 1 species